rnacentral:sRNA from 1 species
UGAAUAUAGGAGGUAUCAAAUCAGGGCC